CUCUUUUAAAUUAAACCAAAUUAUGUUAUAUCUAUAUAUAUAGUAAUCUACGUAAUAAUAUAGCGAGAUCAUAAAAUCAGACGAGAGAAUGGUCGGAAAUCUGAAGAAAAUUCGAAACCACAAUCAGUCAUGAAUUAAUCUAGCAAAAAGAAGUCUUUGGAAGAAAAUUUCUAAAAGUGUGAAUGAUAAUCAAGUAAUUGACUAAAGUAAUUU
rnacentral:lncRNA from 1 species